rnacentral:rRNA from 1 species
AUGAAUGUUGACGACACAACCACCUCCACAAUUGCCCAGAUCUUUGGCUGUGCGAUCUCUAGCUUCCCCCAGACCUACCUCGGCCUACCCUUAUCCCCCACUAAGCUUCCCCCCUCGGCCUUCCAGCCCCUCCUCUCCUCCUACCGAUCUUUCCUCCCAGGCUGGUGCGCAGAAUUGCUUAAUCGUGCUGCAAGGCUUGUGCUCAUUUCUUCUGUCUUAGACUCUCUCGCUACGUAUUUCAUGUCGGUUUUCAAAAUCCCAAAGAAAACGCUAAAAGAGCUGGACGCCAUUAGACGAGCCUUCUUUUGGGCUGCUGAGGAGACGUGCAUGGGUUCCAAAUGUUUGCUUGCUUGG